rfam:Triticum urartu cultivar G1812 contig1065928, whole genome shotgun sequence.
AAAGUACUCCCUUCAUCCCAAAAUUCUUGUCUUAGAUUUGUCUACAUAUGGAUGUAUCUAUUCAUAUUUUAGUGUUAGAUAUAUCCAUAUCUAAAUAAAUCUAAGACAAGAUUUUUGGGACGAAGGAAGUAGUAA